ensembl:lincRNA
GAAGUAGAUGUCCUCCCAAACAUUUUCACACUUUGCUUUUUCAUUAUUUCUGUCCUUUGAGUCACCGCGUCACUGCUUGAAGCAGGAGCGGAAGUCGGGGAAAAUGCCAGAGGCGAGGGCCACUUUUCGGUCACAAAGCAAUUCAAGUGGUAGUUCUCCUUCUCUCGCACAUCCUGGCUGGGCCCCGUGCCAGGAAAGCACUCCUCCAUCCUCAGGAUGGCAACUGGGCCUGAAUGGGAUGUAGGAAGCUUUCACUUAUCCCAUCAUUCUGGAUUGCCUGUGUCGACUCUGUGGAUGAGAGGGAAGAAUAAUAAGCACAGCCAACUGCCAGAAACUUCUUGUUGCCUCAGUGCAUAUCUAUUUUUCCGCUGGAUGACUUUUAUUUUUGCAUUUUUAAUUGCUUUAUUUGUAUUGUCCCUUUCCUCGGGGCAAUUUCUAAAUACCUCUUUGGGGAGGCUUUUAUAUUCAGAUCUGUGACAGUACCACCGAGAUCUCAAGCUAAGCAUGAAAGCCUGGAUCUAAUAUCUUCUUGCGGCUUUCCUAUCUAAUAGGCCCGCUUGUGAGUCUCGCUGCUGGGAUACCAUGUCCAAGUGGAUGUUUACUGAAGAAAAACCAGGAGUUGCAGAAAAGCGGACAGGAACAACUUGUCAGAACUCUGAUCCGAUGACUCAUCAAAUUGUACCCACGUUACGCAACCAUUAUCCAGUGGUGAAGAGUGCACCCAGGAAAGAGAGAUCCAGCAGCCUGGCUCCCGACCCUGUGUGGCCAACUGUGUAAUGCUCUCCAGCAAGAAAAAGGAGCCUCUCAACAACAUGGAACGCUGUAAUGAAAGCGAGUUUAAGCCAAUAUUUGUCAAUUAUCAAAUAAUUAUUAAAAAGGAAGCACAAAAAGAGUCAGACAUCCUGUUUUUUGUCAUCUCAAGAAAGUCUCCAAACUCUGUCCCCAGCGACUUUGGACAGUUAUCUUCCAAGGACAAUAAAUCUGAGACCAGGACGGAUGGCACGGUAAUUCCAAAGCUCCAUACUGCCCAAUGCUCCUACUCCUGUCACAGAUGAAGUCAUUGCCUUAUCUGACAAAAAAGGUUGUUCGAUCCCGCUAGUAAAAUAUUGAUUCAUCAGCUUCAAAACAAUUCUUUCACACAAGGGAGUAGACUACUCCCACCAAUGUGAGAAAUCCCUGCUGGAGACCAUUCGGCAAGUCCGAGCAUCAUCAAAAAGGUAUUGAAGGACAGUUUGGAUGGUGGAAAGCAUAUCUGGCUGCAUCUAAGAAUUGAAAAUGGAUCAGGCAUGAGAUGAUAUGCAGGAAUAAGUUUCAGUUUAUUAGGUGUGGAAAAUGUUACUUUCACAAUAAUACCAAAUUUCUCAUGGCAAAUAAGUAAAAUCUUUAAGAAAUGAAAGCCUAAUUCACUGUUUCUUAAUCUCUUUUGGAUUUAUGGAAUUCUGAGACACAGAAAAAAAAUCUAUGGGUCUUUUGACAGAAUAGUGCACAUGUGGACCCACACACACAUUUUUUAAUGUAGGUCAGGGGAUUUUUAAACUCCUACUCCAGUUAAUGGAAGAAACAACCAAAUUCACUAAUGAUUACAGUAAGUAUUAUAUUUACAAGAUCAUGAUAUUAACAGGACUUGAAGUAAAUUAUACAUCUUUUAGAAUCUGGGAGGACUCUGUGAUGACUGGAGACAUAGGAUUUGAAAAAGUGUGGGAAUAAAAACCAAUCAAGAUGGAAGACAGAAUUCAGAGAUACUUAGGGGCAAAGACAGUCUUUUUCAUGUUCUAUCCCUGGAGCCAAAAAGCCACCCCUGACAUAUGAAAGAAAGGUGCAAAAUCAACUUUGUUGAAAAAAGCAAAAAGCCACCAACUAAAUAUUCAUUCUUACAGUUCCUUGCCUGAUACUGAAUUGUUCUUAUACUUCUAAGGUCAUGAUUCCCCAUUAGAUUCACCCCCUUCUUAUUCCCUACUGCCUCCCACAGGUUCUGAAUAGCCUUUGCAUUUCUCCUGUUGGUAGGAAUCAACACUGUGGCCAUUAGACCAUGAUCUUUUGUAUUAAGACAAAAUGGUAGAGCCUAAGUAUUUCUGUAAAAUGAAAUAAUACCUUUAGCACUGCAUUUAAAAUAACAACCUGCCCAAAGGCAAAAUUCUCUGCCCCUCCUCACAAGGUGAAUCUCUAUUUCACAUUCUGCAUUUGCUCCGUGAGCAGCCCCAUCCCCAGACACUGUGAGGGAGAAUCGUGAGAAUGGGAUGAGUGGAGAACCCAGGAGAGACAAGCAGUGGGGGAACAAAGCAUAUGUGGUGGGACUAGAGAAAACUCGGCCCACAAGCACAGUCAUUAAGGAUCCGCUGUGUUGGUUAUGAAGGUGGAGAAGCAAACUGGAUAAUGCAUUUUGGUAUUUUAAAGACAACUGCCACUUCAUCCAAAGCCUUUUAUUUAAAGAAAGGCAUUCUUACAAAGGAGAGAGUUUUGCCUUGGCAGACAUGCUAUUUUGGGUAUGUCCGAGGGAAUCUAUAUCCUAUGAGUUUAAAGAUUAGAGAAAUUGUAUUUGUAUAUUUGAAGUAAUUACUGGAAAAAUACCCCAAAUUCUUUGAGAUCUUGUGUUAUUUAGAAUUAAAAGACUUUGGUUUUAAAUGCGUGUUAAAAGAAAGUUCCAGAAGUAGAAUACAUACAGUAUUGUAUCUCCUAGUAUUUUAUCUCAAAGUUAAUUGGAAAAACAUUUACAUAGAAUCAUUCACUUUACAGCAACAUAGAAAAACUAAUGCUUUGUUGAAAGUUGUCCAGACCCCCCACUGUCACCACCACAACAAUUUCAACUUUCAGACAAAAGAGUACCAAGUAUAAGUAAGAUAUAUGAUAGUAGUUCUUGGACUGUUGUGAAUGUGUACUGGAAGUUAAAAUUUUCAUGUCCACCAGUUAGAAUACAUAUAAAGAGCCUUAUACUCUUCCAUAAAUUAUGGCACAGCAUAAAAUCAGAAAGAAAUCCUGAGCUUGAAAUGAUCUUGUGUCUGAGGAUAAGCACAUGUUUUGAGACAUGAGAUCAGGUUUUAAAAAUUUAGAUUAGGAGUUCAUAAACUAGUGUUAGUGAUUGUUCUUGCAUGGCACUCCAGCUACGGAUGGCUUUCAAAAUUUUAAAAGGUUGUACAGAAAACAAAACAACAAGAGAUAUAGGAUAGAGACCACAGUAAUUUCCAAACCCCAAAGUAUUUAUUACCUAGCCAUUUACAGAAAUACCUUGCCAAUCCCAGGUUUAGAUUCUAAUGGACUAGGGGUUAGCCUUGAGAUUCAAUUUUGGAUUCAUUUGGAAAUGCCACAUUGUUAACAGAGAUACCUCUCUUCUUCUGCAGUAAUUUGUACCAGUUUAGAGCACCAAGAAGAUGAAAAACUUAUCUAGCAACAAAUCAAAUUCUCAAAUUUCUUAUUAAUUUAAAUUACACUAACUAGAUUUGGAUUCCUUACCACAAGUAAUGCCUUAGAAAUAAAGUUGUCCAAUGAAAAUUUUAGAAUUGAAAAUGUUUUUGACACAUUUUGAAGAAAUAUGGAUCUGAAGUAAAAAAUUCAGACUUUCUGGAACCACUGAAAAAUUCUUAUACCCAACUGUAAUAUUCUUACUUACGAAUUCUUCUUCAGAAAAAGCCAUCUCUCUCCACAUGUUUUUGAAUAUGCAGCUUCACAUGAAGAUAUGUUCAGAAAUUUUCAAAUGUAUUUAUUCAAUAACAUAAAAUCCUUUUAAAAUAUUUAAUUAUCUUGUGAUCUAACUCAUACAGUCCAGAAUUCAAGCCCAAG